rnacentral:sRNA from 18 species
GGCAGGGGCUUGCGUUCAGGCUUUCGGUACGUUUGGUAUAGCGUCAGACUUAUCCGGAGGAGGGUAAGGAACCGUUACGGAUUUUGCGCACUGAGCGAAUCCACAAUAACGCAAGCC